AUCGGCAUUGCUGGUCAGUGUUCCACACAGCGGACGCUCGCGGUUGCCGGUAUCGCUUUUAUGCUUUUGACCACGGAUGUACUGGCACUGGUGUGAGAUGCGAAUAGGAAGGUCGGUGCGGUUUCGCCCCGGCCUUUUUUAUU
rnacentral:sRNA from 1 species